AACGAACGCUGGCGGCAUGCCUAACACAUGCAAGUCGAACGAGACCUUCGGGUCUAGUGGCGCACGGGUGCGUAACGCGUGGGAACCUGCCCUUAGGUUCGGAAUAACUCCCCGAAAGGGGUGCUAAUACCGGAUAAUGUCUUCGGACCAAAGAUUUAUCGCCUUUGGAUGGGCCCGCGUUGGAUUAGCUAGUUGGUAGGGUAAAAGCCUACCAAGGCGACGAUCCAUAGCUGGUCUGAGAGGAUGAUCAGCCACACUGGGACUGAGACACGGCCCAGACUCCUACGGGAGGCAGCAGUGGGGAAUAUUGGACAAUGGGCGAAAGACUGAUCCAGCAAUGCCGCGUGAGUGAUGAAGGCCUUAGGGUUGUAAAGCUCUUUUACCCGGGAUGAUAAUGACAGUACCGGGAGAAUAAGCUCCGGCUAACUCCGUGC
rnacentral:rRNA from 1 species